CCUGCCUGAAUGACCGGGACAACACCGGGAAACUGGUGCUAAUACCGGAUAAGCUCUUGAGUACGCAAGUACAUAAGAGGAAAGGAUUUAACUUUCACAUUCAGAUGGGUCCGCGUCCCAUUAGCUAGUUGGUGGGGUAAUGGCCUACCAAGGCAACGAUGGGUAGCCGGUCUGAGAGGAUGUUCGGCCACACUGGGACUGAGACACGGCCCAGACUCCUACGGGAGGCAGCAGUGGGGAAUCUUGCGCAAUGGGGGAAACCUUGACGCAGCGACGCCGCGUGAGUGAUGAAGGCCUUCGGGUUGUAAAGCUCUGUUGGGGGGGAAGAUAGUGACAGUACCCCCUGAUGAAACCCCGGCUAUCUACAUGUCACCAGCCGCGGUAAGACGUAUGGGGCGAGCGUUGUCCGCAAUUACUGUGCGUAUAGGGCGUGUAUGCGGCCUCUCAAGUCUGCUGUGAUAUUCCUUGGCUUACCUGACGGUGUGCAGUCUAGACUGAUGGUCUUGAGUGCACGAGAGGGUGGUGUAAUUCCCGGUGUAUCGGUGACAUGCGUAUAUAUCGGGAGGAACACCCGGUGGCGAAAGCGGGCUCCUGGCCUGUGACUGACGCUGAGGCACCAAAGCCGGGGGAUCAAACAGGAUUAUAUACCCUUGGUAUUCCACGCCGUAAAACGAUGUCAAUUA
rnacentral:rRNA from 1 species